rnacentral:sRNA from 1 species
GGUAUUUAUAUCACAAGUUGUUGAGGAAAAUCACACUGAUUGCAAGGUGUUUGUUAUUGGAUUUUGUGGGGACCCAGCACCCCUUACCAUGCAACAAAUAAAAUUUGCAAAAUAUAAUUUACAAAAUAGAAAUCUUUUGUAAUGCCCUCACCCCAAUAUUUUAUACAUCUGCUCCAAUCACUUUGAGUUGAUUUUUUGUCAUAGUCUGAGAUAGCAGCAGUAAUGCACAUUAUAUGAUAGAGAUAUGAUAGAGAAGUAUAAAAGUCCUAACUAACCAGAUAUACAUGUAUUCACUAAACAUUUACAUAGAUUGAUAUAUCAAAAUUUAUUGCACAGAUUUAUUGAUGGUAGACUCGUAUUAAAUAUGCUAAAUUAAGAUUACCGGUACAUAAAUUAAAAAUGCAAUACAUUUUUGUAUUGUUGUUGUAAAUUUAUGUUCUUUGAUUAUAGACGGCCCUACAAAAGCUAUGUUUGAAUCAAUCCAAAUGUACAGAAACUUGCAUGUUGACUUACAUAUUUAAUUGUUGUUUUAAACUUUUGCUUUUGUGAUUUUAAAAAGGAAUUCGAAUCAAAAUGACUUUUUUGUUUGUCUACGUGUUCAAAAAAAAUAUUUUGCUGAUAUUUUAUUUGGAGGGUAUGAUGUUAAAUAUGAAAGAUUUGUGUUAUGGAGUGAACUACAUAAAAAAAAUGAUACCGAUUUUCAUUUGGUCUGCAUGUAAAAGUCUCCUUUGUACAGAUUUGUAUUUUGUUACUGAUGUCUGUAUGUUUUUCAUUGUUUAACAUGUUCAGCACACAAUAAAUUUAAUAUAACAUAC